AGAGUUUGAUCCUGGCUCAGGAUGAACGCUAGCGGCAGGCUUAAUACAUGCAAGUCGAGGGGUAACAUGGUAGCAAUACUGAUGACGACCGGCAAACGGGUGCGGAACACGUACAGAACCUUCCUUUAAGCGGGGGAUAGCCCAUAGAAAUGUGGAUUAAUACCCCAUAGUAAUAUUGAUUGGCAUCAGCUGAUAUUUAAAGAUUUAUCACUUAAAGAUGGCUGUGCGGCUGAUUAGGUAGUUGGUCGGGGUAACGGCCCACCAAGCCAUCGAUCAGUAACUGGUGUGAGAGCACGACCAGUCACACGGGCACUGAGACACGGGCCCGACUCCUACGGGAGGCAGCAGUAAGGAAUAUUGGUCAAUGGACGCAAGUCUGAACCAGCCAUGCCGCGUAAAGGAUGAAGGCCCUCUGGGUUGUAAACUUCUUUUAUCUGGGAAGAAAUGCCUGUUUUUUAACGGGUUUGACGGUACCAGAGGAAUAAGCACCGGCUAACUCCGUGCCAGCAGCCGCGGUAAUACGGAGGGUGCAAGCGUUAUCCGGAUUCACUGGGUUUAAAGGGUGCGUAGGUGGGAAUGUAAGUCAGUGGUGAAAUCUCCGUGCUUAACAUGGAAACUGCCAUUGAUACUAUAUUUCUUGAAUUUUCCGGAGGUAAGCGGAAUAUGUCAUGUAGCGGUGAAAUGCUUAGAUAUGACAUAGAACACCAAUUGCGGAGGCAG
rnacentral:rRNA from 1 species